rnacentral:rRNA from 1 species
CCUACGGGUGGCAGCAGUGGGGAAUAUUGCACAAUGGGGGAGACUCUGAUGCAGCAACGCCGCGUGAAGGAUGACGGUUCUAUGAUUUGAAACCUCCAUCUAUAGGGAAGUAAGAAAUGACGGUACCUAAAUAAGAAGCCCCGUCUAACUACGUGCCAGCAGCCGCGGUAAUACGUAGGGGGCGAGCGUUAUCCGGAAUUACUGGGUGUAAAGGGAGAGUAGGCGGGAAGGUAAGCGAUAUGUGAAAGUCUUACGCUUAACUGUAUGAUUGCAUAAGGUACUAGCUGGCUAGAGUACAGGUGAGGAAAGCGGAAUUCGUAGUGUAGCGGUGAAAUGCGUAGAUAUCAGGAAGAACACCAGUUGCGAAGGCAGCUUACUAGACUGACACUGACACUGAGGCUCGAAAGUGUGGGGAGCGAACAGGAUUAGAUACCCUUGUAGUC